AAAACAUAUACUCCAUUAUUUCUCUCUCUAUCGUCUGUUUCUUAGUCCUUCUUCUUCUUCUUCAUCAUAUCAAUUCCUCUACUUCUCAAUUGCAUUAAUUGAGAGUCAAGUACUUCAUCUUUGUGUAUCUUAUGAUUUCAAUUUUAUAUUAUAAUUUAAAUUUACUUGCAAGUUGAAAUUCCGUAAGAGAUAAAAAGCAAUUGUUACAUUUGGAUCCAUAUGACUUGAUAUGUAGGUUAUAGCUUUAUUUCUCUUGCUUGUUUAGUAUAGUCAAGUUUCAAUGGAAGGGUUGGUACACCUUUUUGGGGGCAUGAGUACCGUUACUGCUUUUUGGAGCUUUGAUCUGUAAAAGCAAGAGCACAAAUAGAAAGGAAAGCUACAGGGUAGAGGUUAAAUUUAAAACAUCAUUUUGUAUGUUUUUAGCUAGAUAUGUAUGGUUUCUUAUUAACUAAUAAACGCUCAUAUGUAUUGGAAAAAAUUAAGUUAAUAUAUUGAAUUAAUUAUGUGAUGAUAUAUUAUGACACAUGGGUUAGUAAAAGAAUGAUAGAUGGCAAAGACGUAUGAGCUUUAACAGACACGUGCAAAGAUCCAACAAUACCAGAAGGAAUGGGUGCGCGAACCUCUUGCUAAUUUGAAUAAGUAUUUGAGGAAUGAACCUAGAUAGCAAAAAAAUAUAUAUAUAUUUUAUCGGUAGUUAAUAAGAAAUAAUUAUAGGAAUAUAUAAGGCGAUUGUCUCGAAAGGAGACCCUCGAAGAAAUUCACAUUUGAGGGUUUGACCUAUCGGUCGAGAUCUAGGAAGCAAUAAAGUUUGAGGUCGAGGCGAAGAAACUUUCCGAGCCUGAAGGUGGCGCAUGCUCCGAGAGUUCUAAGGGAUCUGAAGACUCUGACGGUUAUGGCAACAAGUCGAGCCUCAAUGAAGACUAGGCAUGAAUGUCUUAGAACUUUUUUUGUUUUUGUCCUGUGUAUGUUUUUUCUUUAUUUUAAGGCCUUUUUUGUUGGUCCUUUGUAAAUACAUUCUGGAAUAUAUAAAAUUUCCCUUUCUGGC
rnacentral:lncRNA from 1 species